rnacentral:rRNA from 1 species
UACGUAGGGGGCGAGCGUUGUCCGGAUUUAUUGGGCGUAAAGAGCUCGUAGGCGGUUGGGUAAGUCGGGUGUGAAAACUCAGGGCUCAACUCUGAGACGCCACUCGAUACUGCCCUGACUCGAGUCCGGUAGGGGAGCGCGGAAUUCCCGGUGUAGCGGUGAAAUGCGUAGAGAUCGGGAAGAACAUCGGUGGCGAAAGCGCUCUACUGGACCGCAACUGACACUCAGGGACGAAAGCUAGGGGAGCGAAUGGG